UAGGGAAUCUUCCGCAAUGGGCGAAAGCUUGACGGAGCAACGCCGCGUGAGUGAUGAAGGUCUUCGGAUCGUAAAACUCUGUUAUUAGGGAAGAACAAAUGUGUAAGUAACUAUGCACGUCUUGACGGUACCUAAUCAGAAAGCCACGGCUAACUACGUGCCAGCAGCCGCGGUAAUACGUAGGUGGCAAGCGUUAUCCGGAAUUAUUGGGCGUAAAGCGCGCGUAGGCGGUUUUCUAAGUCUGAUGUGAAAGCCCACGGCUCAACCGUGGAGGGUCAUUGGAAACUGGAAAACUUGAGUGCAGAAGAGGAAAGUGGAAUUCCAUGUGUAGCGGUGAAAUGCGCAGAGAUAUGGAGGAACACCAGUGGCGAAGGCGACUUUCUGGUCUGUAACUGACGCUGAUGUGCGAAAGCGUGGGGAUCAAACAGG
rnacentral:rRNA from 1 species